AAAAGUCGUAACAAGGUAACCGUAGGUGAACCUGCGGUUGGAUCAUUACUAAAUCUAACUCGAGCGUGGGCAACCACGUCUCAACUACACCUUGCGAACUAUUGAACGUUGCUUUGGUAGGAUGGUUUCGACCUACUACCAAUAGCUCUAUCUAACCCAUUUACUUUUGGACUGACUUUUUUCAUAAAACAAUGAAGAAAACAACUUUUAACAACGGAUCUCUUGGCUCUC
rnacentral:misc_RNA from 1 species